rnacentral:rRNA from 1 species
UACUAGUGGCGGACGGGUGAGUAACGCGUGGGUAACCUGCCGUAUGCAGGGGGACAACAGUUGGAAACGGCUGCCUAAUACCGCAUAAGCGCACGGUAUUGCAUGAUACAGUGUGAAAAGAUUUAUCGGCAUACGAUGGACCCGCGUUUGAUUAGCUAGUUGGUGAGGUAACGGCUCACCAAGGCGACGAUCAAUAGCCGGCCUGAGAGGGCAAUCGGCCACAUUGGGACUGAGACACGGCCCAAACUCCUACGGGAGGCAGCAGUGGGGAAUAUUGCACAAUGGGGGAAACCCUGAUGCAGCGAACCGCCGCGUGAGUGAAGAAGUAUUUCGGUAUGUAAAGCUCUAUCAGCAGGGAAGAUGAUGACGGUACCUGACUAAGAAGCCCCGGCUAACUACGUGCCAGCCGCUGC